rnacentral:rRNA from 1 species
GAGUUAAAUUUAAGGUCUGACCUGCCCACUGAAUUUUUUAAAGGCCGCAGUAUACUGACUGUGCAAAGGUAGCAUAAUAAUUAGUCUUUUAAUUGAAGGCUGGAAUGAAUGGUUGGACGAAAUAUUAGCUGUUUCACUUGAAAUUUUUAUAGAAUUUUAUUUUUUAGUCAAAAAGCUAAAAUUAAAUUAAAAGACGAGAAGACCCUAUAAAGCUUUAUAAUUAAUGGGUGAUAGCCUAAUAAGAAUAUUUUAUGUAGUCAUUCAUUGAUUAUUUUAUUGGGGUGAUAUUAAAAUUUAAUAAACUUUUAAUUUUUAUUUUCAUUUAUUUAUGAACUAUUGAUCCACUUAUAGUGAUUAAAAGAAUAAGUUACUUUAGGGAUAACAGCGUAAUUUUUUUGGAGAGUUCUUAUCGAUAAAAAAGAUUGCGACCUCGAUGUUGGAUUAAGAGAUUCCCUUAGGUGUAGCCGCUUAAGAGGAAAGUCUGUUCGACUUUUAAAUUCUUA